rnacentral:miRNA from 1 species
UCUCCUGGGGAGCUUGUGAACACCAGACUCUGAUUCCGUAGGUCAGGGUGGGGCCUGAGACUCUGCAUUUCUGACAAGUUCCCAGGGGAUGCC